UCCGAGUUGACCCCGGCAGUCUCCUAUGAGUCCCCGACACCCGAAGGCUCGCUGGCAACAUAGGACGAGGGUUGCGCUCGUUGCGGGACUUAACCCAACAUCUCACGACACGAGCUGACGACAGUCAUGCACCACCUGUGUGGGGCCCCGAAGGACACCGUAUCUCUACGGCUUUUCCCCACAUGUCAAGCCUUGGUAAGGUUCUUCGCGUUGCAUCGAAUUAAGCAACAUGCUCCGCCGCUUGUGCGGGCCCCCGUCAAUUCCUUUGAGUUUUAGCCUUGCGGCCGUACUCCCCAGGCGGGGCACUUCAUGCGUUAGCGCCGGUACCCCGGGGGUCGCUCCCCAGAGCACCUAGUGCCCAUCGUUUACGGCGUGGACUAC
rnacentral:misc_RNA from 1 species